rnacentral:rRNA from 1 species
ACUCCUACGGGAGGCAGCAGUGAGGAAUAUUGGACAAUGGGCGCMAGCCUGAUCCAGCCAUGCCGCGUGCAGGAUGACGGUCCUAUGGAUUGUAAACUGCUUUUAUACAGGAAGAAACCCUGGUUCGUGAACCAGCUUGACGGUACUGUAAGARKRAGGAUCGGCUAACUCCGUGCCAGCAGCCGCGGUAAUACGGAGGAUCCAAGCGUUAUCCGGAAUCAUUGGGUUUAAAGGGUCCGUAGGCGGUUUAAUAAGUCAGUGGUGAAAGCCCAUCGCUCAACGGUGGAACGGCCAUUGAUACUGUUAAACUUGAAUUAUUAGGAAGUAACUAGAAUAUGUAGUGUAGCGGUGAAAUGCUUAGAGAUUACAUGGAAUACCAAUUGCGAAGGCAGGUUACUACUAAUGGAUUGACGCUGAUGGACGAAAGCGUGGGUAGCGAACAGGAUUAGAUACCCUGGUAGUCCACGCCGUAAACGAUGGAUACUAGCUGUUGGGCGCAAGUUCAGUGGCUAAGCGAAAGUGAUAAGUAUCCCACCUGGGGAGUACGUUCGCAAGAAUGAAACUCAAAUGAAUUGACGG